GCUGGGUGUGGUGGUGCCUGCCUGUAAUCCCACAGCUUUGGAGGCUGAGGCAGGAGGAUCGUGAGUUCAAAGCCAGCCUCAGCAACAGUGAGGUGCUAAGCAACUCAGUGAGACCCUGUCUCUA
rnacentral:sRNA from 1 species